AUUGAACGCUGGCGGCAUGCCUUACACAUGCAAGUCGAACGGCAGCACGGGUGCUUGCACCUGGUGGCGAGUGGCGAACGGGUGAGUAAUACAUCGGAACGUACCUUAUCGUGGGGGAUAACGCAGCGGAAGCUGUGCUAAUACCGCAUACGCCCUGAGGGGGAAAGCGGGGGAUCGAAAGACCUCGCGCGAUUAGAGCGGCCGAUGCCUGAUUAGCUUGUUGGUGGGGUAAAAGCCCACCAAGGCGACGAUCAGUAGCUGGUCUGAGAGGACGAUCGGCCUCACUGGGACUGAGACACGGCCCAGACUCCUACGGGAGGCAGCAGUGGGGAAUUUUGGACAAUGGGGGCAACCCUGAUCCAGCAAUGCCGCGUGAGUGAAGAAGGCCUUCGGGUUGUAAAGCUCUUUUGUCAGGGAAGAAACACCGGCUCUAACACAGUCCGGGAAUGACGGUACCUGAAGAAUAAGCACCGGCUAACUACGUGCCAGCAGCCGCCGCGG
rnacentral:rRNA from 1 species